rnacentral:tRNA from 3 species
AGGCGCUUAGCUCAGCUGGUUAGAGCACCACCUUGACAUGGUGGGGGUCGGUGGUUCGAGUCCACUAGCGCCUACCA